CUGGAGGUACUCAGGCACAGAGUAGCAUCAAAUCUUCUAGGUUAAAAUAAAAACAAGAAAUGGACACCAUGACUCCACAGCCUCCUUCCUGCCUGGUGAGCUUGUGACUCAUCCAGCUAGUUGUUUUCUGCUAAGUGUCUCAUACAGACUUGAAUAUUCCUCAAGACUUCUCAGCUUGAUCAAACAGACAACACAACUCCAAGGCUACGCAAACACUUAGAUGGGGGCUGAGGGAGAGGAGUUGACAUUUAGUGGAGAUAAUUCUCACAAACAUUUUUCAUCUCAGAGAUGUUACAACUCUUGACGGCUUCAAUCUUUUAUUUUAGAGAUUUCUAUUGAUUGGAUAAGAAUCACACAUAUUUUGUCCACAGCACAGAGAUAGCAAAGCAAACUUUUCCCCUAGUGCCAUUUCCCCAGGGAUGGGAAUGAUUGAUUUUUAUUGGUUCAGCUUCUAGGAUACUCACAUCUCAAUUCAGCCAAUUUUCUUUGGAGAGAGCACACUCCAGUACACUUAAUGUAUUUUCUUUCUUUUCUUUUCUUUUUUUCUUUUUUUUUUUUUUUUGACAGAAUUUCGCUCUUGUUGCCCAGGCUGGAGUGCAAUAGCGUGAUCUCGGCUCACUGCAACCUCCGCCUGCCGGGUUCAAGUGAUUGUCCUGCCUUAGCCUCCCGAGUAGCUGGGAUUACAGGCACCCACCACCACACCCAGCUAACUUUUGUAUUUUUAGUAGAGAUGGGGUUUCACCAUGUUGGCCAGGCUGGUCUCGAACUCCUGACCUCAGAUGAUCCACCCACCUCAGCCUCCCAAAGUGCUGGGAUUACAGGCAUGAG
rnacentral:lncRNA from 1 species